rnacentral:sRNA from 1 species
UUUUGGAGUCGAGUAUGACUUGAUGUGAUGUGUAUGAUUGAGUAUAAGAACUUAAACCGCAACUGGAGCUUAAAAGCCUAAGUAGUGUUUCCUCGUUAGAAGAUACAAAGCCAAAGACUCAUACGGAGUUUAGCUACACCAUCAUAUCUUUGAGAG